rnacentral:rRNA from 1 species
GAUGAACGCUGGCGGCGUGCCUAAUACAUGCAAGUCGAGCGAAUGGAUUAAGAGCUUGCUCUUAUGAAGUUAGCGGCGGACGGGUGAGUAACACGUGGGUAACCUGCCCAUAAGACUGGGAUAACUCCGGGAAACCGGGGCUAAUACCGGAUAACAUUUUGAACCGCAUGGUUCGAAAUUGAAAGGCGGCUUCGGCUGUCACUUAUGGAUGGACCCGCGUCGCAUUAGCUAGUUGGUGAGGUAACGGCUCACCAAGGCAACGAUGCGUAGCCGACCUGAGAGGGUGAUCGGCCACACUGGGACUGAGACACGGCCCAGACUCCUACGGGAGGCAGCAGUAAGGAAUCUUCCGCAAUGGACGAAAAGUCUGACGGAGCAACGCCGCGUGAGUGAUGAAGGCUUUCGGGUCGUAAAACUCUGUUGUUAGGGAAGAACAAGUGCUAGUUGAAUAAGCUGGCACCUUGACGGUACCUAACCAGAAAGCCACGGCUAACUACGUGCCAGCAGCCGCCGCAG